CAUAUAAGAAAAGUCUACCAUUUGGGACUUUCUCAGGCUAUCCACAUCAGCAACUCUCUUCUCAAAAUUCCACAUCAUCAUUCUCAAAAUUAACUUCUUAUUCUACUAUAAUAAUUUGACAGUUACAUCCUUUUAUUCUUCAAUUUCCACUAUCCUCAUAACUGUCCUUAAUCCCACUCUCUUCCAAAUUCCAAAACCGUUCAAAAAUUUCACGAUCCAUUUUCCCAAAUUCCUUUUCACUUUUCCUCACAUAAUUGGGAUUCUUCAUUAUUCUGAAGACAAAUACGCAACCUAUCAUGUUCACGGCGGUGUUUCUUGAGGUUCGUCAACGAUGGCGGUGAUUGGUUUCGCUUUCUGACGACCCUUCACAUUGGCCGGGUUUGAUUAAACGGAAGAUGGUGGAGGAGUUGUACAAAUCUCUUGUGGCUUAAUUUAGAUCUCAGAGUUCUCAUGGAUUUUAUUUCUCUAUGUCUGAUGGUGUUUUGUUCUUGAUUGUAUUGGUAGUUAUGUUUAUAUUAUACUAACCCUUUCGUACUCCUCAUCUCACGGCCUUCCUAAAGUAUUUUGAUUUAAUUUUUGAUUGAUUUGGUGUUGAUGAUGCUCACGGGUAUGUGCGAUAUGUUGGAACUGGUGAACACCUUCCCUGAAGAGAUGUCUCUGUUGGAAAGCAUAAAAGAGUGUAUUUGAUUUUGGAGUUUGCACCUAAAGGUGAACUUUACAAGGAGUUACAUAAAUGCAAAUAUUUUAGAGAAAGACGUGCAGCUACUUAUGUUGUGUCAUUGGCCCUAGCCAUCAUAUAUUUCCAUGGAAACCAUGUAAUUCAUAGGGACAUUAAACCAGAGAACCUUCUUAUCGCUGCUCAGGGCGAAUUGAAGAUUGCAGAUUUCGGAUGGUAGGUACACACAUUCAACCGUAGGAGGACCAUGUGUGGCACCCUGGAUUACCUUCCACCCGAGAUGGUGGAGAGUGUAGAACAUGAUGCAAGUGUAUAUAUAUAUAUAUAGAGCCUCGGCGUUCUUUUCUACGAGUUUCUUUAUGGAGUCCUGCAUUUUGAGGCCAAAGAACAUUCUGAUACUUAUAGGAAAGUAGCAGUCACUAAGUAGUUGAAUUUAUAUCAUCAUGUAAUUGUACCUUUGUGUAAUUCUAUAAUGUUUUGUUGUUCAUAACUGGCUUUGAGGAGGACAAGAAUUUCCAUGUUGUUUUAAAUUUUGUAAUAGCUGGCCGCUAUCAUGUCACCGAGUAUUUGUGAUCUGCGGCACUCACUAAAGCAAUUCAACUCAAAGCCUACUUAUAUGAGUUUCAUAAAUUUAACAGAGAAUCAAGAGGGAAACUUUACUUUACAAUGCCAAGAUUGCAGAUGAUUGGCCUCACAAAGCCAACUUCUGGGGCAGCCUAUGUUCAAGGCCUCGACAUAAGAAAUCAUAUGGAUGGAAUAUAUACUAGCAUGGGAGUAUGUCCACAACAUGACUUGCUGUGGGAAAGCUUAACAGGUAGAGAGCACCUACUUUUUUAUGGAAGACUUAAAAAUCUCACAGGUUCACUCUUGACUCAUUGAUAUUGUUAUAGGCGGUAGAAGAAUCUUUGAAGAGCUUAAACCUUUACCAUGGAAGAAUUGCUGAUAAACAAGCUGAAAAAUACAGUGGAGGGAUGAAGAGGAGGCUCAGUGUUGCAAUUUCAAGGUUGCUUAUUAAAUCUCUGUUUCUUCUCUGCUACUUUCCUUUAUCUUGAGAAUACGAGCUUCAAUGUUGGAAGGUAAUCUUAGGUUUUUGUUUCUGUGUUGGCAAUUGUCAUACAAUUUGUUUCUUCGUAAUUAGAUUAUGCAAAACAGAAGUGACUUUGGAUGAUUAUGAAGAGGGGUUGAUAGCUAGCACUGAAGCAGCUAAGACAUGGAGGAAUGCGAGUUUUUUUAAUAAAAUAUUUAAAUGAGGAUGAACUUGUGAUGUUUUUUUUUUACAAGUUCCGGCACCCAAAAGAGGUGAGAUUGUAAGACAGAUUGGGGAAGCAUUGAGGGCUAAGUUGGAUCCACUUGGUACAUUCUGAUGGGAAAAAUUCUUGCAGAAGGAAUUGGUGAGGUUCAGGUGCAGUGCUGCACAGUGCAAUAUUACCAAUAUAUUGAAUCAUGUCGCAUAGCUGCUAAACUGAAAUGUUGUGAUCAAUGCGAAAUGUCAUCACCAUGAAGGUCGCAUAUAAAAUUUCAUAGGAGAAGCUUUCCGAUCUCAUACAGAAAGAAGAAUUCAAAAGAGUGAUAGAAUCGAUGCGAUCUCAUAGCAGGCAUGGUGUUGAUUGAAGGGAUCUAGAGGCAGAUGCCUUUGUAGAAAAUGGAAGGAUGGUGGAAUAUUUAUUUGGUAAAGACGGAAAAGGUUUCCUCGGACAUGAUAAAUUUGUGCAGUUUAUAAGAGAUCUUAUAUAUAAUUGUGUAUGUAAACUAAUUACAAUUUUGUGUAUAGAUUUUGAGGCUGGAGUUUGUUCAUUAUGACUUCAAAUCGUGAAAAAACAUAUCAGCAAAGCAGUUUGUAUCA